rnacentral:lncRNA from 1 species
ACAUUGGCAUCCUAACCACAAUGUAGUCGUGAAGGAGAUUGAAAAUGUGAACAAGAUUAAGAUGGCUCUCUUUUUUAAUCAUACAAUCAACUUUCAAGAUUAUGGAGAGAAAAGCGCACGCAGAACUGAUCUAGCCCUUGAACUGAAGAAAAUGUUUGAAGAGCUGCAUAUUGGAUAUGAUCUCCUUCCUCAAGAAGUUCGUCUAGUCAAGAGUAGUGUCGGCUAGGAUCAGCAGAUGAUUUUAUCUUUUAACUCGGUAAGUGCCUUUUUUCCUUUUAACUGUGAAAAUUAACUCUGCUAUGUAGUUCUGAAACAAACGUCUUUAUCACGAAUUUAUGACAUUAGGAUCAAUUACGAAGCUAACAAUCCGAAUAAUGUUUUGAAUAUCAGUCGAACAACCUUGAAAGUAUAUUUUUGCUUUUUUCUAUUUUGCCAUGUUCUCUAACAAAUUAUCUGUUGCGCGCUUAUGGAAAUAACAGGUGAUGCCACAGUGUUUUUGUCAUGCACCUAUAGAAAUGCUGAACUGGAGAAAGAUUCCGAACACUGCUUCUUGGUAGUACGUAAACAGAUUUACAGUCACCGUUGUUUGUACCGUGUAUAAAAUCUAGCUUCUCGAGAAGGAUGUUGAUUUAUCUUCAUUUUUCUUACCUCUUGGGUUUGCUGCUGGUUCUUCUGGCUUUUGUUUUUUUGUGAUCUCUGCUUCGAGGAAGUCUACUGCAGUUGAAUGUGCGUGUUAUUGGGUGCCUGAAUUAUACAAAAUCUUUUGUUGAAAUGCAUUUUUCUCGUUUUUAUUUGUUUUUCCCGGUUAGAUUUUCUGAUUGUUUAUUUCCUUAUUUUUAAUUUCAAAGUGUGUUGUGUUGAUUUAGGUCUCGUUUGGUAUGUCUUUUGCUUUUGAUUCUUACGGAAGAGUUUUUGGAGGGAGCUAACUUAAUUUUUGUUGGGAA